UACGAACUGUGCGAACGUUAUUCGGAAUCACUGGGCUUACAGGGUGCGUAGGCGGCCUUUCAAGUCAGGUGUGAAAUCCCCCAGCUCAACUGGGGAACUGCGCUUGAAACUGGAGGGCUGGAGGCAACUAGAGGUGCAUGGAACUUCCGGUGGAGCGGUGAAAUGUGUUGAUAUCGGAAGGAACACCAGAGGCGAAAGCGAUGCACUGGGGUUGUUCUGACGCUGAGGCACGAAAGCCAGGGGAGCGAACGGG
rnacentral:rRNA from 1 species